rnacentral:rRNA from 1 species
GUCUACAGCCAUACCACCCUGAAUGCGCCCGAUCUCGUCUGAUCUCGGAAGCUAAGCAGGGUCGGGCCUGGUUAAUACUUGGAUGGGAGAAUAUAUGGCCCAUAAUAGGUU